UUUGAUCCCGCCGGAGGUUACUGCUAUCGAGGUUCGACUAAGCCAUGCGAGUCGAAUGUAGCAAUACAUGGCGUACUGCUCAGUAACACGUGGACAACCUACCCUCCGGACGGGUAUAAACCCGGGAAACUGGGUAUAAUCCCCGAUAGAUCUCGGUCGCUGGAAUGCCCCGAGAUCGAAAGCUCCGGCGCCAGAGGAUGGGUCUGCGGCCUAUCAGGUAGUAGUGGGUGUAGCGUACCUACUAGCCUACGACGGGUACGGGUUGUGAGAGCAAGAGCCCGGAGAUGGAUUCUGAGACACGAAUCCAGGCCCUACGGGGUGCAGCAGGCGCGAAAACUUUACAAUGCCGGCAACGGCGAUAAGGGGACCUCGAGUGCCAGGUUACAAAUCUGGCUGUCGUGAUGCCUAAAAAGCAUUGCAUAGCAAGGGCCGGGCAAGACCGGUGCCAGCCGCCGCGGUAACACCGGCGGCUCGAGUGGUAACCGUUAUUAUUGGGUCUAAAGGGUCUGUAGCCGGCCGGAUAAGUCUCUUGAGAAAUCCAGCAGCUCAACUGUUGGGCUUUCAGGAGAUACUGUUCGGCUCGAGGCCGGGAGAGGUGAGAGGUACUUCAGGGGUAGGGGUGAAAUCUUGUAAUCCUUGAAGGACCACCAGUGGCGAAGGCGUCUCACCAGAACGGACCUGACGGCAAGGGACGAAAGCUAGGGGCACGAACUGGAUUAGAUACCCGGGUAGUCCUAGCCGUAAACGAUACUCGCUAGGUGUCGGCCACGGUGCGACCGUUGUCGGUGCCGUAGGGAAGCCGUGAAGCGAGCCACCUGGGAAGUACGGCCGCAAGGCUGAAACUUAAAGGAAUUGGCGGGGGAGCACCACAACGGGUGGAGCUUGCGGUUUAAUUGGAUUCAACGCCGGAAAUCUUACCGGGACCGACAGCAAUAUGAAGGCCAGGCUGAAGACUUUGCCGGAUUAGCUGAAAGGUGGUGCAUGGCCGUCGUCAGUUCGUACUGUGAAGCAUCCUGUUAAGUCAGGCAACGAGCGAGACCCA
rnacentral:rRNA from 1 species